UGUUGUGGGGACAGCCAAGUUUCAACAGUUUUAACAUCCAUUCCAGUUUUAUUUUUGUUGUUUGUGUCAUACGCAUAUUGAUAUGUUUACUAGUAAAAAAUUACAUCAUCAUUAAUUUUUUAAUUGAAAACAUAGACGAUACAGAACCUGAAGUAGUCAACAUGGACCUCAGAGAAUUUGAGUUUCUGACAAUCAUCCAUGUACAUCCUUCGUCCAUUAUUUAACAGAGGAAGAUGACUUUAGACUAAUUUCUUUCUAACGUGAUUCUUUGACUGACAGGAUUUGUGUCAAUAGAAUCUUGAUCCUAAAAACGUCAGAAUUCACAAAAAAAGUAUCCAAAACCCAUUCAGAAUAAUUUUCUGCAGAACCUGAACAAGUAAUAUUAGCAGGUUGGUUAUUUUUAUCCAUUUUCCGUUGUACUGAUGUGGUUUGCUGAACCAGGAAAUAAAUGUUAUGAGUAAUUUAGAAGAACUUUACAGAAAGUGAUAGUUUGUUCAUGGUAUUUUGCAGACCAUACUCCUUUUCUCAGAAAUAGUUUCCAUCAGUUAAAAUAAAUGGAUAGAACUGGAUUAAGGCCGGUUUUCUCACACUGUCUAAAAGCAGUAUGUUAGGUUAAUUGAGAACAUUUAAUUGCCCAGCAGUGUGUGUGUGUGAAUGAUGCUAUGUCUCUUAUAUUUUCCUAUUGAUCUGUUUUCUCUUAGUUUUGUUAUUUAGUCUGGUUGCUUGUUUACCUUCUGUUCUGUUAGACAAGUCUCUGUGCUAAUUAUGUUAAUUGGUCAAAUUCCCUCUGUCUACAUGCAGCCUGGUCCACACCUGUUCAUUGUACACCCUGAUUACCUUGUCUCCCUUCUCAUUGGCUUUCACUUCACUCCCCUCUGUAUUUAAGCUCUCUGGUUUUCAUUGUUCCUCACUGAUUCCUUCCGUUUACACCUCGUUACCUACCCUGUGUUUUUGCCCUGGUCUGGUCCUGAGUUCUUCCAUGUCUGUUGCCUGAAUUUUCAUGAGGCUAAAGUUUUUCACCUGCCUGAGUUCCUGUGCCUGGUCAACUGACUUUUCUUCCAGGCAGUCUUCUAGAAAGGCUAGAUUUGUGGGGUGCACUACCAAUGUCAACAGAUUCUCCCACCUGGAUGUCUACAUCUCCUCCAGAAGUACCAUGGGCCUCUUGGUUGCUUCUCUGAGCAAUGUUCAGAGAUGGAAACCAGAUGUCAGGAUGAGGAGAACUGGGAGGCAGAAGGAGCAAGACUGAGUGGAGAGAAGGUAGAUGAAGGCCAAGAGAGAAGAAUAACAGCGUGUACCCCCUGACUGGCUUGUUUUAAUUCCCAAAUGGCAUCUGCAGAACUGAAGAAAGAAAAGGAGAAUGAAUGAGAGGGAUCUACCAGACCCCUUAAAUCCACUCAUUUUCCUGGUUUAAUAACGUUGAUGGAGCAUAACAUAAAGCAUAAAAUGCUUUGAAAAAUUGUCACCAAACAUUCCUUUAUGUUAUUACACCCUUUGUUUGCAAUAUUUGUUUUUUUUUUCCUCUUCUUUGUUUUACCUAUUUUCCUCUAUAUUAGCAAUACAACAAACCAUGACAAUAUGAGUCCACAAUACUCCCUAAGGACAAUCUGACAAAAGCAACAUAUUGCAUGCUUAAUCUGUCACCUUUGAUGACUUCAGUCUGGGAGUUCGGUGACCUGCUUUUUCAAAGGAGCAAAACAAUUAAGAGCUGGGUUUUCCAGAUGGGUACACUGACCAAAAUGUGAAUAACCCCAUAUUGCUUUGAAAUUUGUUGCAAAAAUGUUUGCUCACGGCUCAAAAAAACACAGUGGGAUCACAGUUAGUGUCAUCCAAUUGUGAAAAAGCAGAAUUUCAGUUUAUUUCACAAAAUGCAACUAUAUUUUUAUUUUUUCUUAAUAGCCAAACCAAACCAUAGAAUCCCUGAAAGGCGAGGGCUUUUUUCUUUUCCUACAGAAACCUGUUUUCUAGGUCUGACUAAAUUUUCUUUUCUCACAACUUUAGCAUUAUCUGCAAGUAAAAAAUUAUUCUAGAAUGAAGAUUUUUCAUUAUUUUGGUCUUAAAACAGUUUUUUUUCCUGAAAGGCAAACAAACAAACAAACAAAAAAAAAAGAAAUCUGGUGGUCUACAAAAUCUGUGGUUUUCCAUUAAGGGUUUCAAACCACAAAAAACAUUUUUCUGUCAUUUCUGAAGCUAAUUUGUCUGUUUGGUCUUGUAAUACUUUUUUCUACCACUAGAGGCACUGGAAUAAAACCACAGGCCUUCACAAACAGCUGUGUUCAAAUUGUCAAAGCCUCUCAAAUGCAUUUCUUCUCACUUGCCUUUCAGGGCAGACCAAAAAAAGAACAGAAAAAUAUUGUUUUAUAGUCAGAAAGACUUGGAUGAUGGGACAGAACAUAAAGCUUAAAACCAACAACGUUUUUGGUUGUUUUUUGUUUUUGCUCACACAGGAAAAAAAAGUUCCCCGAAGCAAACAAAGCUUAGAAAUACUUUUUUUCAAUAAAUAAAUGAAAAUGUUA